rnacentral:SRP_RNA from 1 species
UCGCGCUAGGUGGGGAGUUGGCGGUUCCCUGAACUCCAAAUCCGCUGCACGGGAGACUGAAUUCCCACCAGCGGCUCCGCGUGCUUGUGGCAAGCGCCUCGCAUCCGGUGCUGAAGGUUGGGUCCCGCGCGAGCCAGCGUCGUGAACCGGGUCAGGUCCGGAAGGAAGCAGCCCUAAGCGGAGAGCGGCAGUGCCGCGGGGUCACCUGACCUGAGCCGGCGGCGAGGAUGGCACCCAGGAGCGAGGAGUCCAUGGUGGGUGCGCGA